GGCUUUGCCACUGUUGGGACACUGAUGUCUUUCCUUGCUCCUGAGCCCUCCUUUGCUCCUGAACAUGACUCUGCUCACUUGGGUGGCUAAGCCCUGUGGGGAGCUCCUCGGGAUUCCUAUUUCAUAAGUUCCAGUUCUCGAGGAGCCAGAGACUCCCUGAUGUCCCUUUCCCCUGCCACGGAAUGUCCCAUGUUUUGUCUUCCAGGCAUCUGCGCUCCUAGCUUUGAGAGAGUUGGCGGUGGCCAUGGCAGUAUCUGCAGGGAAACAGAUUCACUGAUGGGACUCUACUGUGGCAAGGCCUAUGGAGACCCCUUCCCACUUGACAGGGAUCUGUGACAAUAUUGGUGGUUUCUAUGUUUAUUACCUAAUAACGUGCUACAAGCUCUCUCUGCUUCUGCUAUGCUCUUUAUACUCACAGCAAUACUUAGUUUCACUUUGUUGUCAUGGGCAAGGCCUGUAUCAUGCAGGCUGGAAGCCCUGGGGAUGAUCCCAUGCUUUUCUGAAAACCCUCCUCUCCUCUCUCUCCCUCUAUCGAUCCUUCAGAUGUGACCAUCAGUCCUGGGUAUUUGGGGGACACAUAAUUAUGUCCCUAGAGAAACAGCUACAGUCACACUGAGUAAGUCUGUGGCAGUUGUGGAGAGCAAUCCUGCUUGCAUAACUAUUCUGAGGAAACUAUGUUUGGCCAACAGAGACUUAAAUGUGGAAGCUGUGUCAGAUUGAUAGAGACUUAAAACGAUGGUUUUCGGAAGGAUGGUUUCAAAAGUCGGCAGGUGCCUAUCAGGAAAGAUUCCUUGGUACAAUGAACAUGUCUCUGUCUGCAACUUACAAAGUAUUAUGACAGAGGGUUCCUAUUUGACGAGUGGACGUAUGCCCACACAUGGUUAAUGUGUCUUUCAUCUUGCACAGCCAUAUAACUUCAUUUGCUGCCAGCUGAGCAUGUGCUCAUGUUCACAGGACAUGCCUGGCUGGACAUUUACUUUUGGUUUGUUGAAAUUGUGCUUUGUAGUACAAAAUAGGAUUGGGGGUGAUUAACCCAGUGGGAAAGAGAAGGAGGAAGGGAAACUACUGGGGACUUUUACAAUAAUCCCGAUGUUACGACUUCUUGAAAUGAAAUAACCAAUGAUGGCAGUGCUCGGGCGAGCAGGAUUGUGGUUGUAAAAAUAAAGAUGGCUCCAGCUAUUUGGGGCCACCUGCUUAAAUGCC
rnacentral:lncRNA from 1 species